rnacentral:lncRNA from 1 species
ACCGAGUGUAGCUGUGAGAAUCAGUACAUCUGGUCCUCUGAACAAUGCUCUAAACAUGGCGUUUGUGGCUCAAUUCAAAAUAACACAUGUGGAUGCAUCACUUCUCUUCCAACUAAUGUGUCAUUCUGUCAGCCAAGACCAGCUCAACAAAAAUCAUUCAGUUACACCAUUGACAUAAAAAUCAACGCUUCAAGAGAUGUUGUGAUAGACCAAUUGAGGGCAUUGAUCCAAGAAAAAAAUUUCCCAAUGUGCAUCAAGAAAGGAGUGAAUAUCUCCAGUGCAAACAUCACUACAGGUGAGAGAAUAAUGAGAAGAGUAAUGCCAUAUCGCAUUUUGUCAACAUUCACCUGACCUUUUUUAUUGGUUCAUUAAUUUAAAUUUUUUUUUUUUUUUAGUUUGUUUCUCAAAUUCAAGUAAAACUGAGUGCAGCUGUGAAAAUCAGUACAUCUGGUCCUCUGAACAAUGCUCUAAACAUGGCUAUUGUGGGUUGAAUCAAAAUCAUACAUGUGGAUGCAUCACUUCUCUUCCAACUGAUGGCUCAUUCUGUCGGCCACUAAGAGCUCAACUGAAGUUAUUCAGAUAUACCAUUGACAUAAAAAUCAAUGUGUCAAAAGAGGUUGUGAUCGACCGUUUGAGGACAUUGAUUCACAGACAAAAAUUCCCAACAUGUGCCAGGGAAGGCAUGAAAAUCUCCAGUGUAAACAUCACUACAGUGUGUCUAUCAUCUUUGAACAAAACCAAGUGCAGCUGUGAGAAUCAGUACAUCUGGUCCUCUGAACAAUGCUCUAAACAUGGGGUUUGUGGCACGGAUCAAAAUAAUACAUGUGGAUGCAUCACUUCUCUUCCAACUGAUGGGUCAUUUUGUCGGCCACCA